AUUGAACGCUGGCGGCAGGCCUAACACAUGCAAGUCGAGCGAGAGGGGGAGGGGUGAGCAAUGUAUGGGGGAUGCGCGAGAGAGGGGGAUAACGACUGGAAAAGGGAGCUAAUAUAGCAAAAGAUCGGAUAACGCAUAUGGGAGUAGAUAGUAGGUGAGGUAAUGGCUCACCUAGGCGACGGACCCUAGCUGGUCUGAGAGGAUGAUCAGCCACCCUGUGACGGAGACACGGCCCAGACCCCUACGGAGGCAGCAGUGGGGAAUAUUGCACAAUGGGCGCAAGCCUGAUGCAGCCAUGCCGCGUGUAUGAAGAAGGCCUUAGGGUUGUAAAGUACUUUCAGUCGGGAGGCGUUACCGACAGAAGAAGCACCGGCUAACUCCGUGCCAGCAGCCGCGGUAAUAC
rnacentral:rRNA from 1 species